GUUACCAUCAUCAUCAUUGUCAGCAUUAGCAGCAGGGUGUGUGUGAGACAGUCUGUAGUGGUGAACACGGAAUUGCACAGUCUGGGCAGGCACACAACCUUGACAGAGAACAGUUAUUGAGGGACGACUUAGAUAUUUAUUCUUGAUGUAUAAGUGAAGAGAGUGUACCUGUAACACACCAGUACUCUAGUGCACUGGCUCUUGAACUGGAGGGUGUGCUGCCGCUAAUAAUUUCCAAGAGGGGCGUCAACUCUGGGAGAAAAGUAGCUAGCAAAAAAUUUAAGAACCUCCGCUCUAGUGGUUAAGUAACACACCCUCCCACCACCAUCACCAUCCUCACCACCAUUUCAUCACUGCAGGCUCUUCAGGGUGGUGGAGACCCUGUUGCACAUUCAUCUGGUGGUGGAAUUCCCUGGCGGCGGCGGCGAGCUGUUCAACACCAUCACCACGGAGGGACGCAUGACGGAGGCACGGGCAGCGGCAGUCUUCACACAGAGCCUGGACUACGACACGUGCGUCAACUCUGCCUGGCUGGACGAGGAGCGCACGCAGGGCUACACGUUUGUGGGAAGAAGGACGCGGCGCGCUGGCUGGUGAUGCUGCUCACGGUUCUUGUUGUGUGUGGGAUUGACAUUACCAUCAAGUCACUCUCCAAAUGCAAAUACUCCUGGCUCCAGAUGUACAGUGACUGCGGGGUGCAGCAGGAGGCGCUAACUCUCCCCUACCCGCUGUUUGUCGCGGUGAACAUUGGCCCGGCGCUUGUGGCUGCCUUCCUCGGCUCUUAUGUGGAGCCUGUGGCUGCCGGCAGGUCAAGUGUUACCUGAAUGGCGCCAAGGUGUCAUGUGUGGUGAGGAUCAAGACCCUGAUGAGCAAGGCCGUGGGGGUGACCUUCUCUGUGCUGGGAGGCCAGGCCGUG